rnacentral:sRNA from 1 species
UAACGUUGCGCCAGCAACGGCCCGAAGGGCGAGCGAAGCGAGUCAUCCUGCACGACCCACCA